rnacentral:tRNA from 1 species
GCUAUGGUGGUGAAAUUGGUAGACACAUUAGAUUUAGGCUCUAAUUUUUUAUAAAAGUAGGGGUUCAAAUCCCUUUCAUAGCA